rnacentral:piRNA from 1 species
UAAACCUUUACAUCCUGCAUUCUACGAGG